CCAGUCCGGUACAGGUCAGGUACAGGUGAGCCCAGUCAGGUAAAGGUCAGGUACAGGUGAGCCCAGUCAGGUAAAGGUCAGGUACAGGUGAGCCCAGUCAGGUAAAGGUCAGGUACAGGUGAGCCCAGUGUGGUACAGGUGAGCCCAGUGUGGUACAGGUGAGCCCAGUGUGGUACAGGUGAGCCCAGUGUGGUACAGGUGAGCCCAGUGUGGUACAGGUGAGCCCAGUCAGGUACAGGUGAGCCCAGUCAGGUACCUGUCAGGUACAGGUGAGCCCAGUCAGGUACAGGUGAGCCCAGUCAGGUAAAGGUCAGGUACAGGUGAGCCCAGUCAGGUAAAGGUCAGGUACAGGUGAGCCCAGUGUGGUACAGGUGAGCCCAGUCAGGUAAAGGUCAGGUACAGGUGAGCCCAGUCAUGUACAGGUGAGCCCAGUCAUGUACAGGUGAGCCCAGUCAGGUACAGGUGAGCCCAGUCAGGUACAGGUGAGCCCAGUCAGGUACCUGUCAGGUACAGCAGGUAGCCUCUCUGGGACCAGGGAAGGUGUUGCUGUCAGU